AUUGAACGCUGGCGGCAGGCCUAACACAUGCAAGUCGAACGAGUGGCGGACGGGUGAGUAAUGUCUGGGAAACUGCCCGAUGGAGGGGGAUAACUACUGGAAACGGUAGCUAAUAACGCAUACCAUCGGAUGUGCCCAGAUGGGAUUAGCUAGUAUGUGGGGUAACGGCUCACCUAGGCGACGAUCCCUAGCUGGGCUGAGAGGAUGACCAGCCACACUUUAUCUGAGACACCUUCCAGACUCCUACGGGAGGCAGCAGUGGUGAAUAUUGACCCAUUGGCGCAAUCCUGAUGCAGCCAUGCCGCGUGUAUGAAGAAGUCCUUCGGGUUGUAAAGUGCUUGCAGCGAGGAGGCGUUACUCGCAGGAGAAGCACCGGCUAACUCCGUGGCAGCAGCCGCGGUAAUUC
rnacentral:rRNA from 1 species